UACGUAGGGGGCAAGCGUUGUCCGGAUUUAUUGGGCGUAAAGAGCGUGUAGGCGGCUUGUCGCGUCGUCCGUGAAAACCUGCAGCUCAACUGCAGGCUUGCGGUCGAUACGGGCAGGCUAGAGUUCGGUAGGGGAGACUGGAAUUCCUGGUGUAGCGGUGAAAUGCGCAGAUAUCAGGAGGAACACCGGUGGCGAAGGCGGGUCUCUGGGCCGAUACUGACGCUGAGGAGCGAAAGCGUGGGGAGCGAACAGG
rnacentral:rRNA from 1 species